CCAUGUAUCUCAACAACUUCUAUGUGUUGCCCCAUUCCCCAACUAUUAUGUAAUAUCGCAACAUCGAAUAUUUUAUGUGACUUAACAAUAGCCUAUAGAGGAAAAUAUCUCAUGUGACAUUGGAGUGUUCUCCGCAAAAGACAAUGGAAAAUAAAGUUUACUGUCUACAGUCCAAAAGAUAGUAACAUCCUCUAUUUUGGG
rnacentral:lncRNA from 1 species